rnacentral:rRNA from 1 species
CCCUUAGAUGUUCUGGGCCGCACGCGCGCUAAAAUGAUGAAUUCAACGAGUUUAUAACCUUGGUUGAAAAGCCUGGGUAAUCUUUUGAACUUUCGUCGUGAUGGGGCUAGACCCUUGCAAUUAUUGGUCUCCAACGAGGAAUUCCUAGUAAACGCAAGUCAUCAGCUUGCAUUGAUUACGUCCCUGCCCUUUGUACACACCGCCCGUCGCACCUACCGAUUGAAUGGUCCGGUGAAAUCUUCGGAUUGAGACUUUGAUUUCUUCACGGAAAACGCUGUUUUAAAAAGUUGAUUAAACCUUACCAUUUAGAGGAAGGUGAAGUCGUAACA